UCAUCUUCGGGGGUAGAGCACUGUUUCGGCUAGGGGGUCAUCCCGACUUACCAACCCGAUGCAAACUGCGAAUACCGAAGAAUGUUAUCACGGGAGACACACGGCGGGUGCUAACGUCCGUCGUGAAGAGGGAAACAACCCAGACCGCCAGCUAAGGUCCCAAAGUCAUGGUUAAGUGGGAAACGAUGUGGGAAGGCACAGACAGCCAGGAUGUUGGCUUAGAAGCAGCCAUCAUUUAAAGAAAGCGUAAUAGCUCACUGGUCGAGUCGGCCUGCGCGGAAGAUGUAACGGGGCUAAACCAUGCACCGAAGCUGCGGCAGCGACACUAUGUGUUGUUGGGUAGGGGAGCGUUCUGUAAGCCGUUGAAGGUGUAUCGUGAGGUAUGCUGGAGGUAUCAGAAGUGCGAAUGCUGACAUAAGUAACGAUAAUGCGGGUGAAAAACCCGCACGCCGGAAGACCAAGGGUUCCUGUCCAACGUUAAUCGGGGCAGGGUGAGUCGACCCCUAAGGCGAGGCCGAAAGGCGUAGUCGAUGGGAAACAGGUUAAUAUUCCUGUACUUGGUGUUACUGCGAAGGGGGGACGGAGAAGGCUAUGUUAGCCGGGCGACGGUUGUCCCGGUUUAAGCAUGUAGGCGGAGGUUCCAGGUAAAUCCGGUACCUUUUUAACGCUGAGGUGUGAUGACGAGGCACUACGGUGCUGAAGUAACAAAUGCCCUGCUUCCAGGAAAAGCCUCUAAGCAUCAGGUAACACGAAAUCGUACCCCAAACCGACACAGGUGGUCAGGUAGAGAAUACCAAGGCGCUUGAGAGAACUCGGGUGAAGGAACUAGGCAAAAUGGUGCCGUAACUUCGGGAGAAGGCACGCUGAUAUGUAGGUGAAGUGAUUUACUCAUGGAGCUGAAAUCAGUCGAAGAUACCAGCUGGCUGCAACUGUUUAUUAAAAACACAGCACUGUGCAAACACGAAAGUGGACGUAUACGGUGUGACGCCUGCCCGGUGCCGGAAGGUUAAUUGAUGGGGUUAUCCGUAAGGAGAAGCUCUUGAUCGAAGCCCCGGUAAACGGCGGCCGUAACUAUAACGGUCCUAAGGUAGCGAAAUUCCUUGUCGGGUAAGUUCCGACCUGCACGAAUGGCGUAAUGAUGGCCAGGCUGUCUCCACCCGAGACUCAGUGAAAUUGAACUCGCUGUGAAGAUGCAGUGUACCCGCGGCAAGACGGAAAGACCCCGUGAACCUUUACUAUAGCUUGACACUGAACACUGGUCCUUGAUGUGUAGGAUAGGUGGGAGGCUUUGAAGUGUGGACGCCAGUCUGCAUGGAGCCAUCCUUGAAAUACCACCCUUUAAUGGCUGGUGUUCUAACGUGGACCCGUAAUCCGGGUUGCGGACAGUGUCUGGUGGGUAGUUUGACUGGGGCGGUCUCCUCCUAAAGAGUAACGGAGGAGCACGAAGGUUAGCUAAUCCUGGUCGGACAUCAGGAGGUUAGUGCAAAGGCAUAAGCUAGCUUGACUGCGAGAGUGACGGCUCGAGCAGGUGCGAAAGCAGGUCUUAGUGAUCCGGUGGUUCUGAAUGGAAGGGCCAUCGCUCAACGGAUAAAAGGUACUCCGGGGAUAACAGGCUGAUACCGCCCAAGAGUUCAUAUCGACGGCGGUGUUUGGCACCUCGAUGUCGGCUCAUCACAUCCUGGGGCUGAAGUAGGUCCCAAGGGUAUGGCUGUUCGCCAUUUAAAGUGGUACGCGAGCUGGGUUUAGAACGUCGUGAGACAGUUCGGUCCCUAUCUGCCGUGGGCGCUGGAGAAUUGAGGGGGGCUGCUCCUAGUACGAGAGGACCGGAGUGGACGCAUCACUGGUGUUCGGGUUGUCAUGCCAAUGGCAUUGCCCGGUAGCUAAAUGCGGAAGAGAUAAGUGCUGAAAGCAUCUAAGCACGAAACUUGCCCCGAGAUGAGUUCUCCCUGAGACUUUAAGUCUCCUGAAGGAACGUUAAAGACGAUGACGUUGAUAGGUCGGGUGUGUAAGCGUAGCGAUACGUUGAGCUAACCGAUACUAAUGAACCGUGAGGCUUAACCUU
rnacentral:rRNA from 1 species